rnacentral:rRNA from 1 species
GCCUACGGGGGGCAGCAGUGAGGAAUAUUGGUCAAUGGGCUAAGGCCUGAACCAGCCAAGUCGCGUGAGGGAAGACGGUCCUAUGGAUUGUAAACCUCUUUUGUCGGGGAGCAACGAGGCCACGUGUGGCCGAAGUGAGAGUACCCGAAGAAAAAGCAUCGGCUAACUCCGUGCCAGCAGCCGCGGUAAUACGGAGGAUCCGAGCGUUAUCCGGAUUUAUUGGGUUUAAAGGGUGCGUAGGCGGUUUUUUAAGUUAGUGGUUAAACGUCGGGGCUUCACCUUGAUUUGCCAUUAAUACUGUAAGA